rnacentral:rRNA from 1 species
CACGUAGGGCGCGAGCGUUGUCCGGAAUUAUUGGGCGUAAAGAGCUCGUAGGCGGCCUGUUGCGUCCGCUGUGAAAGCCCGGGGCUUAACCCCGGGUCUGCAGUGGAUACGGGCAGGCUAGAGGUAGGUAGGGGGAGAAUGGAAUUCCCGGUGUAGCGGUGAAAUGCGCAGAUAUCGGGGAGGAACACCGGUGGCGAAGGCGGUUCUCUGGGCCUUACCUGACGCUGAGGAGCGAAAGCGUGGGGAGCGAACAGG